CCUUCAGAGGGAGUGCAGGUCCUGUUCCUUACAGGGGGCGGAGAUAACAAGAUGAUUGGAGUCCCAGGAUUUGUGGUUAAUGGUCUCUAUAGUAAUUAGGGGUUGAAGCAUCCUCUUUGUCCUAUCUGAU
ensembl:snoRNA U8 U8 small nucleolar RNA